rnacentral:tRNA from 1 species
AGGGAAUAGUUUAAGAAGAAUUUCAGCUU